rnacentral:piRNA from 1 species
UUGGCCUGAGUGGUCGGAGAAGAGUCA